UUUCCGUAGGUGAACCUGCGGAAGGAUCAUUAAUGAGUUGUCAUGGGGUUCGAUGCUGGCAGCCAAUUUUUGGAUGCAUGUGCUUGCCCUAACAAUCAUCUUCCAAACACCUGUGCACAUUUUUGAGGGAGUUUUGAGUUGGUUGCCGCUCUUGGGUGAUUUUCUCACAUUCCCUUAAAUCAUUAUACGCUAUUAACAAUGUUGAACGUGCUCUGUGCCGCAAGGCUAUUAAUAUAAUACAACUUUUAACAACGGAUCUCUUGGCUCUC
rnacentral:misc_RNA from 1 species